GCUUAGAAAUUUAUUUUAUUUAUAACAAUAAUAAAAAUAGGAACUCGUUUAACACAUGCCAGGAAUACCACAUUCACAUCAUUUUUAAGGCCAAGAAGCAAAUCUUUCCCUUUUCCUUAAAGAUUAGCGUUUCCAUAAACAUGCAACCAUUUUACAAGUAAAAUGCUUCAGAAGCAAACAAACCGUCGUCUGCAUUAGAGCCGCACACUGC
rnacentral:lncRNA from 1 species